GGGCCGGGUGCCCUUAUCCAAAUGCUGAUCACCCACCUCUCACCUCUCUUCCUCAAGCUCACUGAGUCUCACUCUCUCACGGCUGGUGUCGCCCUCGACCUCUCUCGUCUCCGGUAUCUCGCUUCUCUCGCGGCCGCCUUCCUGCCCUCGCUUCACCGGAAGCAGAAGCAGACGGAACCAGUAUCUGGUCCCUCGGGUGGUGGUCGUUGUCGUCUUUUUGCUUCGGCCGUCAACGCUUCCUUCGCCGUGAGUUGGUCCCUGGGAAGUGACUCACCGGUUAAACCAGUGAUCCGGUGGUAUGACCGGAUUAAUUACCAGUUCGGUUCUCAUAACUAUAUUAGUAAGUAUAGGAGCGAAAGUGAGUUGUGUGAAGGAGAGCGAGAGAUAAGAAAGAAGAAUGGCAAUGGCAGGUUGUUCACUGGUAUCCACCUUCCCCCUCAAAUUGAAGCCUCUGAAAACAAAGACCUCUUCUUCCAAUCUCUUUCAUCCAGAGCUUGCCUUCGUCACUUCCCACCUCAGCGGCAUUAAAAUUUCGUACCACCCUUCUCCUAUGCCCCUUCUUGCGCCCUCUCCAAAGUUCUUACCUUUGCAGCCUCUUGCUCGAUGUAUAUUAUUCAUUUUGAUGACUCCUGAUACUGGAAAUAUUGAUGGAUGGACAACUGGAUCUGGAAGAAAGAUUAAGAUGGUGGAUACCCAUAUGCUGUCAUGAUUUUAGCCAAGCAUUUGAGUUCUUCAACCUGUUUGAUGCUACAAAGUCUCCAAGUAUCUCUGCUUGAUUCAUCCAUUAUGAGUUUGCACUCUGCCAAAAGAACAGCCUUGUUUAAGCAGCUAACGAAACGAAAAUCAAUCGUUGACAUGGCCAAAAGUAACUAAGGGAGGUUUACCAAAUAGUUAAUUACUCCCUAAUUACUAUAUUUUGUGUUUAGCUAUGAGUAGAUGAUUACAAAAAUGUUGUGUCCUGCACCAGGCUGUUAAAGGUAGCUGAUUUGAAUAGCUACCACAACACUUGAGUUAUUAUAAAGACUACACAACCCAUAAGCCGAUAACUUCCACGUGAUCAUGCGAUAUUGUAUGUAUAUUGAAGGAAGAUCACCGCUUUUUGUUUAGUUGAAGCUUGUGUUAAUUGUUUGAUCAGAUCAUUAGAAAUUGGAAAUAGAAAAAAGUGAUGCUGAAGCUACCAACUGUGAUUUUGAAGCUUCUUCGUAUAAUGUCUUGUGGCUGGGCAAUUACUAUAUAUUACAAUUUCACUUUUCCUGGACUUAAGAAACUAACACUGAUAUUUACUCGAGCUUCAGCCUGAUCUUUAGAGCGACAUAUGCUCUAGUUCUACAGUCUUCAUUUUUUUAAAAGGAUGACAUGCAUGGCUAACAAUAUGCUAAUAUGGAUGUUACUCAUUGAUGGCAAGUUAGAUUAUCAUUAGUGGUGGAGAAACCUAAUUGGAAUCUGUUGUUUUGUUGGCACUU